UACGUAGGGUGCGAGCGUUGUCCGGAAUUAUUGGGCGUAAAGAGCUCGUAGGUGGUUUGUCGCGUUGUCCGUGAAAACUCACAACUCAAUUGUGGGCGUGCGGGCGAUACGGGCAGACUGGAGUACUGCAGGGGAGACUGGAAUUCCUGGUGUAGCGGUGGAAUGCGCAGAUAUCAGGAGGAACACCGGUGGCGAAGGCGGGUCUCUGGGCCGAUACUGACGCUGAGGAGCGAAAGCGUGGGGAGCGAACAGG
rnacentral:rRNA from 1 species